rnacentral:snRNA from 1 species
GCCUGCUUCCACAGUGCAUAGACUAAAAUUGAAACAAUACAGAGAUUAGUAUGAUCCUUGUGCAAGGAUGCCACGCAAUUCGUGAAGCAUUCCAUAUUUCU